UACCAGCACCCCGAGUGGUCGGGACGUUUAUUGGGCCUAAAGCAUCCGUAGCCGGUUCUACGAGUCUUCCGUUAAAUCCAACUGCUUAACAGGUGGGCUGCGGAAGAUACUAUAGAGCUAGGAGGCGGGAGAGGCAAGCGGUACUAGGUGGUAGGGGUAAAAUCCGUUGAUCCAUUGAAGACCACCAGUGGCGAAGGCGG
rnacentral:rRNA from 1 species